CCUAACACAUGCAAGUCGAACGGUGGCAGCAAUGUCAUAGUGGCGCACGGGUGCGUAACACGUAACUAACCUACCCAUCAUUGGGGGAUAGCCCGCCGAAAGGCGGAUUAAUACCGCAUAAGACAAUAGAGCGGCAUCGCUUAGUUGUUAAAGAUUUAUUGAUGAUGGAUGGGGUUGCGGGUCAUUAGCUAGUUGGUAAGGUAACGGCUUACCAAGGCGACGAUGACUAGGGGAGCUGAGAGGCUGGUCCCCCACACGGGCACUGAGAUACGGGCCCGACUCCUACGGGAGGCAGCAGUAGGGAAUAUUGGGCAAUGGGCGAGAGCCUGACCCAGCCAUGCCGCGUGCAUGAAGAAGGCUUUCUGAGUCGUAAACUGCUUUUGACAGGGAAGAAUAAGCACUACGUGUAGUGUGAUGACGGUACCUGCAGAAUAAGCACCGGCUAACUCCGUGCCAGCAGCCGCGGUAAU
rnacentral:rRNA from 1 species